rnacentral:rRNA from 1 species
AACCGGGAUUGCCUUAGUAACGGCGAGUGAAGCGGCAAAAGCUCAAAUUUGAAAUCUGGUACCUUCGGUGCCCGAGUUGUAAUUUGGAGAGGGCAACUUUGGGGCCGUUCCUUGUCUAUGUUCCUUGGAACAGGACGUCAUAGAGGGUGAGAAUCCCGUGUGGCGAGGAGUGCGGUUCUUUGUAAAGUGCCUUCGAAGAGUCGAGUUGUUUGGGAAUGCAGCUCUAAGUGGGUGGUAAAUUCCAUCUAAAGCUAAAUAUUGGCGAGAGACCGAUAGCGAACAAGUACAGUGAUGGAAAGAUGAAAAGAACUUUGAAAAGAGAGUGAAAAAGUACGUGAAAUUGUUGAAAGGGAAGGGCAUUUGAUCAGACAUGGUGUUUUGUGCCCUCUGCUCCUUGUGGGUAGGGGAAUCUCGCAUUUCACUGGGCCAGCAUCAGUUUUGGUGGCAGGAUAAAUCCAUAGGAAUGUAGCUUGCCUCGGUAAGUAUUAUAGCCUGUGGGAAUACUGCCAGCUGGGACUGAGGACUGCGACGUAAGUCAAGGAUGCUGGCAUAAUGGUUAUAUGCCGCCCGUCUUGAAACACGGAC